UACGUAGGGUGCAAGCGUUAAUCGGAAUACUGGGCGUAAAGCGUGCGCAGGCGGCUUUGCAAGACAGAUGUGAAAUCCCCGGGCUUAACCUGGGAACUGCAUUUGUGACUGCAUGGCUGGAGUGCGGCAGAGGGGGAUGGAAUUCCGCGUGUAGCAGUGAAAUGCGUAGAUAUGCGGAGGAACACCGAUGGCGAAGGCAAUCCCCUGGGCCUGCACUGACGCUCAUGCACGAAAGCGUGGGGAGCAAACAGGAUUGAGAA
rnacentral:rRNA from 1 species